UGAUAUUUUUAUUUACAUAUUAUUUAUCUCCCAUUCCAGUGUGCUGCCCCUGGCGCUCUGCUAUGCUACCCAUGAAACGACCGACGCAAAGGAAGUAGCCGUCGAAACAAGGCAUCAUCAGCAGCGGAGGGAGCAGCAACCUUUUUUUCCCAAAAUAAGGCUGAGCAUUCGCUUCUCGGGACCGGCGACAUCCCAAACAAUAAACUUCACGUCGAUAGAAAUAGAUACUCACAAUCAAUCACCGUACCAGUCUACGUGACGUUACGGUACUACUCUGGAUGGUCAAUCGCAGUGUUUCAACCUAGGUCCUCAAUCAAAGGAUAUUUAUUCUAUUUUUCACUACGGUCCGAUCCGGUUCUUCGGUUAAAGUGUGCUACGAAACUGGUGUCGAGACCAACCAGGUUCACCGAGAUUUUCACCUCUUCACUCCUAACACUUAUUAUAAUCCC